UGCUUCUCUGCAGCUGGUGACUUGGAUGGAGCCUGGGGCUUCAGCAGGAAAAAUAAUGAAAGGACCUGCACUACCCAAGCUGCUUUUUGGGAAGCUUAUGGAUACACGCUAAAACAAGAAAAUCCCAGCAAGCUGCCAGCUCAAGCAAUGCCUGUGGGAUCUCCAGGGGGAAAGUGCAGUCGUCAGUUAUCAGUCAUCCAUCAUCUUGUAGGGUUUUGCUAAGAAAACUUUUAUCUCCCUCUUCCAGUGCAGGAACCCCAGGAUAGAGGCAUAUUGCUGUCCUGUAAUUGCAGGCACCCUUGGCUCUGCUCCAGGUUUGGCAGCUCCUGUAUGUAACCACGUAGCAGUUGUGGAAACCAUCCUGUGGCAACCUGCUCUCCCCAGGUACCAUGCUUAAAAUGGAGUCCAGCACUCAAACCGUUCUAUGGAUCUGGACUUUGGUGACCAUUUCCCAGGUUCCUUCUGCCAGAGGAAUCACAAACAUUCAAGAAUCUCAGGAUGUUACAGCAUCACUUUCUGUUAGGCUGUUGCUUUUUCAUCUUUGCAGAAGUCAAUGCUUUCUGAUGUUGCAAUAAAUUAUGGUUUGCUUUCCACA
rnacentral:lncRNA from 1 species